CGGACGGGUGAGUAAUGUCUGGGAAACUGCCUGAUGGAGGGGGAUAACUACUGGAAACGGUAGCUAAUACCGCAUAACGUCGCAAGACCAGAGGGGGACCUUCGGGCCUCUUGCCAUCGGAUGUGCCCAGAUGGGAUUAGCUAGUAGGUGGGGUAACGGCUCACCUAGGCGACGAUCCCUAGCUGGUCUGAGAGGAUGACCAGCCACACUGGAACUGAGACACGGUCCAG
rnacentral:rRNA from 1 species